rnacentral:tRNA from 1 species
ACCAGCAUGGUGUAGUGGUUUGAGCAUUGGACUAUGACUCUAAAGAUCAGGGUUCGAUUCCCCACUCAAUGACG